ensembl:lncRNA
AUUUCAAACAAACUAUUAAUACCAACAAAAUUCGAUUCAAUUUUAUUUGUUAAGCAAAGGACAUUGUCCAAAAGCAGCUUUACAGAAAAGCUAAUUAUAUAUUGUUAUUACAACUGCUGUCAAAAUUAGUACGCAAGCUAGCUAAAACAUUAAGGCAUCGAGGCUCCAGUGCAGAACCAUGAAGAAGCAAACCAUGUUGUGGCUGACCAACUACAUCUGGGGGUAAGGAGAUGUCUAUGUACCGUUUAUGGAAGGAGUCUCCAGUGUCAGCACUUUGUAACACACAGAGGUGAAGCUGGAACUUGGAAAGUUUUCCGACAUCCUCAAGACGGCGG